CAGUCGCCACGGGAACACGGAGGGUGCAAGCGUUAAUCGGAAUUACUGGGCGUAAAGCGCACGCAGGCGGUCUGUCAAGUCAGAUGUGAAAUCCCCGGGCUUAACCUGGGAACUGCAUUUGAAACUGGCAGGCUAGAGUCUUGUAGAGGGGGGUAGAAUUCCAGGUGUAGCGGUGAAAUGCGUAGAGAUCUGGAGGAAUACCGGUGGCGAAGGCGGCCCCCUGGACAAAGACUGACGCUCAGGUGCGAAAGCGUGGGGAGCAAACAGGAUUAGAUACCCGCGUAGUCCCUGUCUCUUAUAC
rnacentral:rRNA from 1 species